GAUGAACGCUAGCGGGAGGCUUAACACAUGCAAGUCGAGGGGUAUAGUAGCAAUACUAGAGACCGGCGGACGGGUGCGUAACGCGUAUGCAACUUGCCUUAUACAGGGGGAUAGCCCGUGGAAACGCGGAUUAAUACCCCAUAUGUCAUUUGGGUCGCAUGGUCUGGAUGAUAAAGCUGAGGUGGUAUAAGAUGGGCAUGCGUCUGAUUAGCUGGUUGGUAGGGUAACGGCCUACCAAGGCGACGAUCAGUAGGGGUUCUGAGAGGAUAAUCCCCCACACUGGUACUGAGACACGGACCAGACUCCUACGGGAGGCAGCAGUGAGGAAUAUUGGUCAAUGGGCGAGAGCCUGAACCAGCCAUUCCGCGUGAAGGAAGAAGGCCUUAUGGGUUGUAAACUUCUUUUCUGUAAGAAGAAAAGUCCCGACGAGUCGGGAUGUGACGGUAUUAUAGGAAUAAGCAUCGGCUAACUCCGUGCCAGCCGCCACGGUAAUAC
rnacentral:rRNA from 1 species